rnacentral:rRNA from 1 species
CCUACGGGCGGCAGCAGUGGGGAAUAUUGGACAAUGGGCGAAAGCCUGAUCCAGCCAUGCCGCGUGUGUGAAGAAGGCCUUCGGGUUGUAAAGCACUUUCAGUGGGGAAGAAAGCCUUGGGGCUAAUACCCUCGAGGAAGGACAUCACCCACAGAAGAAGCACCGGCUAACUCCGUGCCAGCAGCCGCGGUAAUACGGAGGGUGCGAGCGUUAAUCGGAAUUACUGGGCGUAAAGCGCGCGUAGGCGGUCUGAUAAGCCGGUUGUGAAAGCCCCGGGCUCAACCUGGGAACGGCAUCCGGAACUGUCAGGCUAGAGUGCAUGAGAGGAAGGUAGAAUUCCCGGUGUAGCGGUGAAAUGCGUAGAGAUCGGGAGGAAUACCAGUGGCGGAGGCGGCCUUCUGGACUGACACUGACGCUGAGGUGCGAAAGCGUGGGUAGCAAACAGGAUUAGAUACCCGAGUAGUC